UCGAUUCUUUCGGUGGGUUUGGCUUCCUUGAAAUCGGAGGAAAUUCUUCCUAAGUGGUUAAAUGCUUUCAUUCUCUUCAAAUUCAUGCAUAUUCAUGUUUAGUAGCAUUUAUGGGAAUUUUGAAUGCUUAGAACUCAUAUGUUAUGCAUCAAGAAAGUUACUCUAUAUAGUAGAGAGACAAAUGUGCUUUGUUAAUAUGCAUGCGACGAAUACUCUAUGAGAUGAUAGGAAAUAAAGUUUCAUGCUUCGAUUUUGACUAGACAUUAUAAGUUCUUGAACUUAUUAUCCAUGUUGGGACAGAAUGAGCCAUAGUGUCAUAAAGAGGCACUUGGACUAGAGAAUUACUAAACUGCAACAUAGAGACUUGAUAAUAGGCCACAUUGACAUCAACUAUAUUCCAUAUUUGAGAUAUGAUGAAAUAGUGACUUGGCCACGAGGACAUUUGCUAUAUACCACGUUACUGAACAUGAGAAUUUGGUACUUGCGACUGAUCGUUUGAUUACUUGCCAUUGUGCUCAUUCGCACAUGCUUGUGAGGGUCGCUCCCUACAAGCCGGCACUCCGGAGAUGGCCAUCGCGAUACAUAUUCGCCGUGCGGGAUUGGGCGCCGAAGUGGAUUGCCGUGGGCCAGGCUCACUCCUAGGGUGGGGGUGUUGACUACCACGGGGCCAUUAGGCUCGGCACCGGCCAGACAGCCUACGGGUGGGUCUCAGGGCCAUAGACAGCCUUCGGGUGGGUCUCUUCAGAUUUGACUUGAGUAUUCAUCAUGACAUGUGGACAGAUGAUGACUUAGAGUAUUAUUUGGACAUUGACUAGAAUAGUAAACAACGGAACUUUACUAUUUCGCAUUGUGAACAUUAUGAUAGUUGGAGACUUUUACUUCAUGCAUAGUUGUUUCAUACUUAUGCUAUUUAUGCUAAGUAGAGAUAUCAUGUUGUAGUAAGUUACAUUUUUACUUGCCUUUCAUUUUCCUACAGUUAUAGUCACUGACAUCUAUUGUAGCUUUGGGCCUUGUGGUGCAUUCACUGAAGUCAGUAAUUGCCCACUGGGAACUAUUCUUAAUAGUUCUCAUGCCCCUGUUUCUAUGUUUCCUUUUCAGAGCCUUCGGCACCGGCGGAGGCACGGGAUCGCGGCAAGGGGAUCGCGUAGCUAGCUAGCGAGGAGCGGUACUUUGCCUAGGUGGUUUACUCUUUCCUUUGUAGUUGAGAGAGAGAGAGAUUUUUGUAUUCCUGUAUAGAGACCACCUAUGUAUCUACCUUUAGCACUUGUUAUGGGAUUCCUAUUGUAUUUACUUUAUGUUUUACUUAGUGGAUUUACAGUUUUAUCCUUAUUCCUUGUUGUAGCAUUUAGACAUUUAUUAUGCUCUGAUACUCCUAGAUGUCUCUUAUUACUGCUUUUAUUAUUGUUAUUUUUAGACGCCUUAUAUGUUGUAGACAUAUGGCGGGUCUGGGCACGCGCCGGGCGGGCUUCCGCUGGGUCCCGGGGCGUGACAA
rnacentral:lncRNA from 1 species